CCUCCUUUCUAAGGAUGCAGGCGUUUCUUCUCACGAGGAAAUUCCAGCUACCCUUACAAUGCCGCGCGCCGCCGCCGGCGCAUCCCUUCCGCUCUCGAGCACAGUUCGCGGGAUAUAGAUAAAUUCUUCGCCGACAGGGCUCCGGGCCCUAUGAGCCCGAUGGUUUGGCGUUACACGUCUCGGCUGCAGUUGUCAGGCAAUAGUGGUCAAUAGUUUAGUUCGAAUAUGUUGGUUCGAAUUUGGGGCCUGUAGCUCAGUUGGUUAGAGCGCACGCCUGAUAAGCGUGAGGUCGGUAGUUCAAAUCUACCCAGGCCCACCAAUUUCAGAAGCUGAGCUUCUGAUCCGGGGGUGUAGCUCAGUUGGGAGAGCGCCUGGUUUGCAACCAGGAGGUCGACGGUUCGAAUCCGUUCACCUCCACCACCCUGGCUUCGGGUGUCAGCGAACCGGACACCACCUGCCGA
rnacentral:tRNA from 1 species